rnacentral:misc_RNA from 1 species
AACCUUAUGGACCUGCGGGCGUAUACCUGCGGAGGGAUCAUUACCGAGUUUACAACUCCCAAACCCCUGUGAACAUACCUAUAUGUUGCCUCGGCGGAUCAGCCCGCGCCCCGUAAAACGGGACGGCCCGCCGCAGGAUCCACAAACUCUGUUUUUAUUGUAACUUCUGAGUAACAAAACAAAUAAAUCAAAACUUUCAACAACGGAUCU